rnacentral:rRNA from 1 species
UACGGAGGGUGCAAGCGUUAUCCGGAUUCACUGGGUUUAAAGGGUGCGUAGGCGGGCAGGUAAGUCAGAGGUGAAAUCUCCGGGCUUAACUCGGAACGGCCAAGUGAAACUGUCAAGCUAGAGUGCAGAAGGGGCAAUCGGAAUUCUCGGUGUAGCGGUGAAAUGCGUAGAUAUUGGGAGGAACACCAGUGGCGAAGGCGGCUUACUGGACCGGUUCUGACGCUGAGGCGCGAAAGCGUGGGGAGCAAACGGG